rnacentral:lncRNA from 1 species
AGAGGUCCCUCAGUGCCAGGGCCUCCCCUGUGUCGAGGGCGGCUCUUAGAAUCCAUCCUGGGAAACUCACCGUCAGGGCAACGGAAUGAGAACAACUUCAUGAGACUUAUUUUGACUGGAUCAUCUGAGGUCAGGAGUUCUAGACCAGCCUGGCCAACAUAGUGAAACCCCAUCUCUACUGAAAAUACAGAAUUAGCCGGGCGUGCCUGUAAUCUCAGCUACUUGGGAAGCUGAGGCAGGAGAAUUGCUUAAACCUGGGAGGUGGUGGAGGUUGCAGUGAGCCGAGACUGCGUCUUUGCACUGCAGCCUGGGCGACAAGAGCAAAACUUCAUCAAAAAAAAAAAAAAAAAAAGAAAAAAGAAAAGAAAGAAGUGGGUGCAGAGGCUGGGCUACAGAAGAACACACUGAUUCCCAUGGCUGAAUACUCCUUCGCACAAGAGCAGAGCCUCUGUGAGGGAUAAGGACUCCUUGAAGAUCACAGGGGUGGU